rnacentral:rRNA from 1 species
GAGUUUGAUCGUGGCUCAGGAUGAACGCUGGCGGCGUGCCUAACACAUGCAAGUCGAACGGAGUUGUUUAGGAAGUUUCCUUCGGGGAACGGAUUUCUCAACUUAGUGGCGGACGGGUGAGUAACGCGUGAGCAAUCUGCCUUUAGGAGGGGGAUAACAGUCGGAAACGGCUGCUAAUACCGCAUGAUACACUGAGGAGGCAUCUCUUUGGUGUCAAAGGAGCAAUCCGCCUUUAGAUGAGCUCGCGUCUGAUUAGCUGGUUGGCGGGUAACGGCCCACCAAGGCGACGAUCAGUAGCCGGACUGAGAGGUUGAACGGCCACAUUGGGACUGAGACACGGCCCAGACUCUACGGGAGCAGCAGUGGGAAUAUGCGCAAUGGGGCAACCCUGACGCAGCAACGCCGCGUGAUUGAAGAAGGCCUU